rnacentral:misc_RNA from 1 species
UGCACGACGUGCUCUGCAGUGUGCCUCCUCCACCUCUGUGACAGUAACCAUCCCCUUGUUUGCUAGCAAGUCGCUCAGACACUGCCGCGGACCACGAUUGCGGCAACACGGAGCGCCUCUCUCUACUCUUUCCACAGCCGACCCCCCCCCCCCCUCUUCCGAAACGCACACGCACACGCAAGGUGAGCUACUCUCAUUUUUCUAGUGCGGACCCGCGUGCUUGCAUAUGCGCUCCUGUGAUUCCCCACAUCGCAUUCUCCGUCCCGUGAAUCCGUCGGAGGGCUGCAGACACCCUAACAAAACCCUCAGCUUUCCCCCUGUUGCUCGUCCGUCCCCAGACCGUUAAGCGUCGUGGACGUCUGUAAUCGUUUCUCUUCGGUUGCUGUUCACUCUCUCACUGUCACUGCCUCGCCCUCCUUCGCGCCGGAAAGAUGGACAUCAACGGCACCAUUGUGGACUGCAAGCGCAACGGCACUGACGAGGUCAUUUUCCGCUUCCUCAUCCUUGACGCACCGAGCCCGAGCAGCCUGCCCACCUACGUGAAGCUCCUGCAGCGGCAAAAUGUGCACCACCUCGUCCGUGCCUGCGGCCCCACCUACAAUGCCGAGCUGGUGGAAAAGAACGGCAUCCAGGUGCAUGGGUGGACCUUCGACGACGGAGCGCCGCCAACGCGGGCGGUGAUUGACAGUUGGCUCGACUUGCUAUCUCUGGAGGUCGGCAAGACGCCGCCGGAGACUAUCGCGGUCCAUUGCGUGGCGGGUCUAGGACGGGCACCGAUCUUGGUUGCGUUGGCACUGGUGGAGUACGGCAACAUGGCUCCGCUGGACGCCGUGGGCUAUGUUCGAGAGCGGCGGAAGGGUGCCAUCAACCAGGUACAGCUGAAUUGGCUCAUGCGAUACAGGCCGCGCCAUCACCAGGCGAGUGAUCGUUCUCUUGCCUGUACCAACUGCGCUAUCAUGUGAAACGCGCCAGAGAGACGAGGUGGCGUGUGCCCCUGCGUUUGCGGGUGCUCGACAGCACCGUUUACAACUGCUUCUGUGGAGGGAUGGCUGGAGACACGAAGGAAGUGAUGGAACGCGUGCCCCAGUAAAGUCUGGAAGGAGGCUGCGCGAGCGGCGAUCGCGAAGGGAAGAUAGAUGGUGGCGGAUUGGCAGCAUCGCGUUGGUUGUUCCCCCCCCCCCCCCCCCCCCCCACCACAACCCCUUCGCACACACUGCACUGCCGCUUCUCCUUCCACUUUUCACUCUGUCUCUCACGUCUUUGGUCUCCUCUGCAGGCCGACUAACACUUUUCUUUGUUGUUUGUUGUUUGCGCGCGCGCGACUUCGUUCAUGUCGGUGCCGGCGCUCACGCCGGCUUCAGUGGUGGCUCACGACACCAUUGCUUUCAGUGUAUGCGCUUCCCCGUGCAUGUGCUUGUGAAUGCGCGCUGCCCCAGGACGGCGUCCCUGAUGAUGACGAGGGGGGGGAGUGUCUAAGGGCGCGAUAUCACAGUGCUCAGCACACCCGCUCUGUGUGCGGAGAGGCCAGCCCCUCCCCCCUCCUAUAUCCCUGCCAGUGCCGAACCGCUUCUCUUGGUGACAGGGUGAAGUGGCGACGGCGUACGGGGAGGGGGGAGGGGGAGGCCCGUGCGCGGUGUCGCUGCCGCUGUCCGGUCGCGGGUGGCGUUGUGCGUCGCGGCGACCGGCGACAGUGUGAGCACGUGUGUGCCAUUUGUAUGUGGUGUGCAAGUCCGCCAUGCGCCUCGAGCGUAUCCCACCUGGCCGUCACACUGCCUACUGCUGGUGUGUGUGUGUGUGGGGGGGGCGAGUGGCGCUGGAGCCAUGCCGCCGUGGCAGCUAGAUGGGCGCGACGCAGCACGGGCAGAGCAGAAAACACCUCUUAUGCCGUUGUGUUGCUUUGGCGGGAGGGAUCCUCUAACCCGUGCGUGCAGGUGUUUCUGGGCUGAUGCUUGUGAGCGUAUGUUCGUCUGCUCGGAAGCGCCGGUGUCUUCGAAAGAAUUCGCAAGUGUGCAGGCGCAUGCAAGAUGGCGCCGAGGGAGAGCGAGAAGGAGGACUCCCUCGAAGUCGCGCGUUCCACCCCUGCGGCGGGGCGCUCCCAUGACAGGAUGCGUUGUCUGUCGCACGCGCGAAGGCGUAUCGCACUUCGUCGGCGCCCGCAUCAGACAGGGAGGAGGGGUGCAGCUCGUGAGGUGCCGGCACUGGGCCUCUGUUCUCCUCGCUGCCUUCUCUCAUCACCCAGCGCGAACUCUCUGCGCUUCGAUGGGCACUUGAGGAGAUCCCUCCACCCCCUCCCUCGCCCGGCUCACAGAUGCCGACAUGCCAGUCAGCGGCAAAGGACGCGGAUAGCUGCUGAUUGGGCCAUCGGUCUCGGUGCCUACGCGCGUUUCGGCGCACAGGAUUUCUGUGCCGAGCAGUCGGCUUUCCUUCUGGUGAGCGUGGCACCCUCCUCCUCGUCUGCCAUCGCUCCCAUGCUGCACUCCCGGUGCGUCGCCACGAGGGCGUGUAGUCGCGUGGCGCACAUCCCUUCAUUCACCUCACCCGUUUUGCUCUCUUUGGUCUUAAG